UACAGAGGGUGCGAGCGUUGUUCGGAAUUAUUGGGCGUAAAGCGCUUGUAGGCGGCCUGUCAAGUCGCGUGUGAAAUCCCUAGGCUUAACCUAGGAAGUGCGCGCGAAACUGGCGGGCUUGAGUGCCGGAGAGGGUCGCGGAAUUCCCGGUGUAGAGGUGAAAUUCGUAGAUAUCGGGAGGAACACCAGUGGCGAAGGCGGCGACCUGGACGGACACUGACGCUGAGACGCGAAAGCGUGGGUAGCAAACAGG
rnacentral:rRNA from 1 species